UACGGAGGAUGCAAGCGUUAUCCGGAAUUAUUGGGCGUAAAGCGUCCGCAGGUGGCAAUGCAAGUCUGCUGUCAAAGCGUCUGGCUCAACCAGAUAAAGGCAGUGGAAACUACAUAGCUAGAGUAAGGUAGGGGUAGAGGGAAUUCCUGGUGUAGCGGUGAAAUGCGUAGAGAUCAGGAAGAACACCGGUGGCGAAAGCGCUCUGCUGGACCUUAACUGACACUGAGGGACGAAAGCUAGGGGAGCGAAUGGG
rnacentral:rRNA from 1 species